rnacentral:lncRNA from 1 species
UUAGUCUCUGAGGAGUCCCUGAGAAUUGCUGGACACUAGAAUUCUACUCUUGGUGGCUUAUUAUUCCAGCUGAGAUGCAUGGAGUCUUGGAUGUGCGAUUGGUUGAUGGACGGUUCCCAGCACUCAGGUACUCCUCUCUGGAACACGCUCAUGGACUCAUCCAGAGCCACGUCUCCCAGUGAUUGCAAAUGCAGACAAGUGGACAGCAGGGGCUCAACAGCCACUGAAGAACCUGAGCUGGACUCUAUGCCCAUGUGACCAGCAGGUGUUUGCAUGGACACAGCAACUGAAGACAAGUGGAAACAAACCACUG